rnacentral:rRNA from 1 species
AAUAGAUACCCUGGUAGUCCACGCCGUAAACGAUGUCGACUUGGAGGUUGUUCCCUUGAGGAGUGGCUUCCGGAGCUAACGCGUUAAGUCGACCGCCUGGGGAGUACGGCCGCAAGGUUAAAACUCAAAUGAAUUGACGGGGGCCCGCACAAGCGGUGGAGCAUGUGGUUUAAUUCGAUGCAACGCGAAGAACCUUACCUACUCUUGACAUCCACGGAACUUUUCAGAGAUGAAUUGGUGCCUUCGGGAACCGUGAGACAGGUGCUGCAUGGCUGUCGUCAGCUCGUGUUGUGAAAUGUUGGGUUAAGUCCCGCAACGAGCGCAACCCUUAUCCUUUGUUGCCAGCGGUUAGGCCGGGAACUCAAAGGAGACUGCCAGUGAUAAACUGGGGAAGUGGGGAUGACGUCAAGUCAUCAUGGCCCUUACGAGUAGGGCUACACACGUGCUACAAUGGCGCAUACAAAGAGAAGCGACCUCGCGAGAGCAAGCGGACCUCAUAAAGUGCGUCGUAGUCCGGAUUGGAGUCUGCAACUCGACU